UACGGAGGGGGCUAGCGUUGUUCGGAAUUACUGGGCGUAAAGCGCACGUAGGCGGCUUUGCAAGUUAGAGGUGAAAGCCCGGGGCUCAACUCCGGAAUUGCCUUUAAAACUGCAUCGCUAGAAUUGUGGAGAGGUAAGUGGAAUUCCGAGUGUAGAGGUGAAAUUCGUAGAUAUUCGGAAGAACACCAGUGGCGAAGGACGAC
rnacentral:rRNA from 1 species